rnacentral:rRNA from 1 species
UGGGGAAUCUUCCGCAAUGGACGAAAGUCUGACGGAGCAACGCCGCGUGAGUGAUGACGGCCUUCGGGUUGUAAAGCUCUGUUAAUCGGGACGAAUGGUUCUUGUGCGAAUAGUGCAAGGAUUUGACGGUACCGGAAUAGAAAGCCACGGCUAACUACGUGCCAGCAGCCGCGGUAAUACGUAGGUGGCAAGCGUUGUCCGGAAUUAUUGGGCGUAAAGCGCGCGCAGGCGGAUUGGUCAGUCUGUCUUAAAAGUUCGGGGCUUAACCCCGUGAUGGGAUGGAAGCUGCCAAUCUAGAGUAUCGGAGAGGAAAGUGGAAUUCCUAGUGGAGCGGUGAAAUGCGUAGAUAUUAGGAAGAACACCAGUGGCGAAGGCGACUUUCUGGACGAAAACUGACGCUGAGGCGCGAAAGCCAGGGGAGCGAACGGG